GCUCAACCGAGGAAGUGCUUCGAAAACUGGUAAACUUGAGUGCAGAAGAGGAAAGUGGAACUCCAUGUGUAGCGGUGGAAUGCGUAGAUAUAUGGAAGAACACUAGUGGCGAAGGCGGCUUUCUGGUCUGUAACUGACGCUGAGAUUCGAAAGCAUGGGUAGCAAACAGGAUUAGAUACCCUGGUAGUCCAUGCCGUAAACGAUGAGUGCUAAGUGUUGGAGGGUUUCCGCCCUUCAGUGCUGCAGCUAACGCAUUAAGCACUCCGCCUGGGGAGUACGAUCGCAAGAUUGAAACUCAAAGGAAUUGACGGGGGCCCGCACAAGCGGUGGAGCAUGUGGUUUAAUUCGAAGCAACGCGAAGAACCUUACCAGGUCUUGACAUACCAUGAAAAGCUAAGAGAUUAGUCUUUCCCUUCGGGGACAUGGAUACAGGUGGUGCAUGGUUGUCGUCAGCUCGUGUCGUGAGAUGUUGGGUUAAGUCCCGCAACGAGCGCAACCCUUAUUAUCAGUUGCCAGCAUUCAGUUGGGCACUCUGGUGAGACUGCCGGUGACAAACCGGAGGAAGGUGGGGACGACGUCAAAUCAUCAUGCCCCUUAUGACCUGGGCUACACACGUGAAUCGUCGACCUGCA
rnacentral:rRNA from 1 species